CAGCAGCCGCGGUAAUACGAAGGGUGCAAGCGUUACUCGGAAUUACUGGGCGUAAAGCGUGCGUAGGUGGUGGUUUAAGUCCGUUGUGAAAGCCCUGGGCUCAACCUGGGAAUUGCAUUGGUGACUGCAACGCUGGAGUGCGGCAGAGGGGGAUGGAAUUCCGCGUGUAGCAGUGAAAUGCGUAGAUAUGCGGAGGAACACCGAUGGCGAAGGCAAUCCCCUGGGCCUGCACUGACGCUCAUGCACGAAAGCGUGGGGAGCAAACAGGAUUAGAGACCCCGGUAGUCCCUGUCUCUUAUAC
rnacentral:rRNA from 1 species